UCUGUUUUUACUAUGCAGCCAUACCCGACUCUAAUAAAAAGGCAGAGCGCUCUCUCUCCGUGGGGUUGAAUAUCGAGCUGUUCCACUUGGUGCUCCCCCUAGAGGCCUGGAG